AGAAGCCCAAAUGUUAUAUUAACUGCAUUAUGAAAAUAUAUUUCUUUGCAGACUUGAAGAGCACGAAACUGUGAAGAUCACCCAUCAACGAUUUGAAAAAGCAGUAAAGCAACAACUACAGCCAGAUGCUUCAUGGAAGAUAUGCUGUGUGCGUGUUCUUGGAAAUGCAGACUGCUAUGGAGAAGCACGA